ensembl:lncRNA LINC02603 long intergenic non-protein coding RNA 2603
GAACUACACUACCCAGACUGCCACGGGGCGCGCAACUACCCUACCGUGGAUGCCCUGGAGCGAGGGACUACAACAUCCAGAAUGCUGCGAGGGGCGGGACCGCAGCAUCCAGGAGAAAUUGUGAAAAAUCAGAAAGUAAAAUCUAACUUUCGGGUCUAUGAGAAGGGUGGUCAGACUGCAAUUGACCACUAGUAACUGGAACUGCAGAAAGCAAGACCAAGAGACUUGAAUCAGACAAUGGGGGACUGCUAUAUCAGACAAAGGAUUUGUAUCUGGAAUAUAUAAAGAUCACUUAUACCUAAAUACUAAGAAGACAAACAGCCCAAUUUAAAAAUGGACAGAAUAUUUGAACAGAUGGUGGAUUGGAAACAGUGUCAGCAUGACUCUCCCACUUGGAAAGACAAAAUGGGCUUAAUUAUUAGAUAAGGAUACGUUUCCAACUGAAGGUGGCAACGUUAUGCUGGAAGAACAUGUCAGGAAGACCACAAAAUUUCAUGACUGUACUUGCUACACUUUCAGCAGAAGAGUUAUACAUAUUUUCAAUUCAACAAAGAUUAAGCCAAAAAGAAUUCUUAGAACAUUCCCACUCUUCUUUGGCACAUCAAAAGGCAACAAAUGUCAUUUUCUCCCAUGUUUUUAUGUGCAGUUUAGAACAAAGACCAAUUAUCUAUGCAGCUGUCCACAGUGGAUAAAACAAAAAGCAUACAUUUGGUCCAGAGUUAAGUCACCUGGGUUGGGCCCAUCCAAGGAAGUUUGAUGUUUCUACUCUCAUGAAAAGUACCAAUGGCACUGCACAGUGAUUAUCUUAGAUAUUAAGGAUAAACACAAAUUUCUCCUUAAAUUUCCAUUUAUUGGAAAUGAUUGGAGGGAGGGAACUUCUCCCUCACCUCCACACUGCCUCUUUUCCAACUCUUCUUCCAACACAAAAUAGUUUAAACAGCAAGCACUUAGAGAGCUUUUAGCCUUGCUUGUUGAUUACAAGGCCCAAGUUAGUGUAUGGUUUGCCCAUCGGAGGAAAGCUAAAACAUGGGCCUUCAUGGGUAUUAAAAUUGAAGAAACCUUUUCCAGCAUUUUUUCUAUUUUCUUUAAAGUAACAACCUAUGGACUUCCCCAUCUGACAUUUUCGAGUGAUCCCACUGUGUGAAUGAAGGACUACUUCAGGGUUUGAGGGCAAAGCUGAAAUCUUAGCAACUUACCAGUGAGCAAAGGUAGAACCCAGAGCCCAUCUCUCCUUUUCCAGGCUGCUGAGUAAAGUCUGGCUCAAUCAACCUAUCAAUGAAGCAGUGCUUACAACAUUCUCCAAGACCACCCAAAACCCAAACUGGAAAUGAAUCAUGACUAAUCUGACUCAUUUUGGCUCACACAGUGCCCUUCCAAUUUGUAUUUACCUUUACCACCCAGGACCUGACCUUGGACAUGUGUACCAGGAUGUAAGGCAAUAAACCUAUUCACAAUUCCAAAAGGGCCUGGUCCUCUAUGAAGAUUUCCUGAAGGCUACUUACUUUCUCUACUCAUUAAAAUUUUUGCUUAACUUCAAAUUUCUGAAAUAUACCAUAUGUGAAAAAUUUAAAU